AGAGUUGAUCAUGGCUCAUGACGAACGCUGGCGGCGUGCCUAACACAUGCAAGUCGAACGGGGAUUUUGUUUCCGCAGAAUCCUAUUGGCGAACGGGUGAGUAACGCGUAGGCAACCUGCCCUCCAGACGGGGACAACAUUCCGAAAGGGGUGCUAAUACCGGAUACGAAGGAGCCAUCGCGUGGUGGUUCUUUGAAAGAUGGCCUCUAUUUAUAAGCUAUCGCUGGGGGAUGGGCCUGCGUCCGAUUAGCUGGUUGGUGGGGUAACGGCCUACCAAGGCGACGAUCGGUAGCCGGUCUGAAAGGAUGAACGGCCACAUUGGGACUGAGACACGGCCCAGACUCCUACGGGAGGCAGCAGUGGGGAAUCUUCCGCAAUGGGCGCAAGCCUGACGGAGCAACGCCGCGUGAGUGAGGAAGUUUUUCGGAACGUAAAGCUCUGUUGUUCCUGACGAACGUGCCACCUAUCUCCAACGGGUGGUAAUGACGGUAGGGAACGAGGAAGCCACGGCUAACUACGUGCCACCAGCCGCGGUAAUACGUAUGUGGCAAGCGUUGUCCGGAAUUAUUGGGCGUAAAGCGCAUGUACGCGGUGGAUUAAGUCUGUCGUGAAACUGCGGGGCUCAGCCCCGUAUGGCGAUGGAAACUGGUCCACUUGAGUGCAGGAGAGGAAAGGGGAACUCCCAGUGUAGCGGUGAAAUGCGUAKAUAUUGGGAAGAACACCGGUGGCGAASGCGCCUUUCUGGACUGUGUCUGACGCUGAGAUGCGAAAGCCAGGGUAGCGAACGGGAUUASAUACCCCGGUAGUCCUGGCCGUAAACGAUGGGUACUACGGUGUGGGAGGUAUCGACCCCUUCCGUGCCGGAGUUAACGCAAUAAGUACCCCGCCUGGGGAGUACGGCCGCAAGGCUUAAACUCAAAGGAAUUGACGGGGGCCCGCACAAGCGGUGGAGUAUGUGGUUUAAUUCGACGCAACGCGAAGAACCUUACCAAGGCUUGACAUCGACUGAAAGAUGCAGAGAUGCGUCCCUCUCUUCGGAGACAGGAAGACAGGUGGUGCAUGGCUGUCGUCAGCUCGUGUCGUGAGAUGUUGGGUUAAGUCCCGCAACGAGCGCAACCCUUGUCUUUAGUUGCCAUCAUUAAGUUGGGCACUCUAAAGAGACUGCCGGGGACAACUCGGAGGAAGGUGGGGAUGACGUCAGAUCAUCAUGCCCCUUAUGUUCUGGGCUACACACGUGCUACAAUGGUCGGUACAAAGAGUCGCAAGACCGCGAGGUGGAGCAAAUCUCAAAAACCGAUCCCAGUUCGGAUUGCAGGCUGCAACUCGCCUGCAUGAAGUCGGAGUUGCUAGUAAUCGUGGAUCAGAAUGCCACGGUGAAUGCGUUCCCGGGUCUUGUACACACCGCCCGUCACACCAUGGAAGUUGGGGGCGCCCGAAGUUGGACAGCAAAUAGUUUACCUAGGGCGAAAUCAAUGACUGGGGUGAAGUCGUAACAAGGUAACCGUA
rnacentral:rRNA from 1 species